GAUCCCUUUCCCUCUCCCUCUCCACGCUUGUCCGAGCCGUGGAGGGAUCCUGAGAGGAAAUCUUGUAGCCGGGAGCUGGGGGAUCGCCGGAGAUCCGGGGCACCCAGUCUGGAGCGGCUAAGAUCUGGACGUCCGUGCGGGUUGGAGGCCCGGAGGUGUCCCUAAGGAGGAAAGGCGGCGACCCCUUCCUGUCUUGAGUCACCAGGCUGUUGCUGAGGUGGCUGUAGGAGCACGGGAGAAAGGUGUCCCUAAGGUGAAAAAGUGGCAGCCCCUUCCUGUCAUGAGUCACCAGGCUGUUGCUGAGGUGAGCUUCCUGUCUUUCCCUGAGGAGCACAAGUGCUGUCUUAGAGGCUUUGCAAUCAACUUCUGUUGUAAACAUGACAAUCUACAUUUUCCAUGAUAUUGUUACUUUCCCUGAUGGGGACAGUGGUGAGUGGUUGCCUCUUGCCAACUGUAACUUGAUCAA
rnacentral:lncRNA from 1 species